CAGUAGCCGCGGGAAAACGUAGGGUGCAAGCGUUAAUCGGAAUUACUGGGCGUAAAGCGUGCGCAGGCGGUUCUAUAAGACAGAUGUGAAAUCCCCGGGCUCAACCUGGGAACUGCAUUUGUGACUGCAAGGCUAGAGUGCGGCAGAGGGAGAUGGAAUUCCGCGUGUAGCAGUGAAAUGCGUAGAUAUGCGGAGGAACACCGAUGGCGAAGGCAAUCUCCUGGGCCUGCACUGACGCUCAUGCACGAAAGCGUGGGGAGCAAACAGGAUUAGAUACCCGUGUAGUCCCUGUCUCUUAUAC
rnacentral:rRNA from 1 species